rnacentral:rRNA from 1 species
AUUGAACGCUGGCGGCAUGCCUUACACAUGCAAGUCGAACGGCAGCACGGGGGCAACCCUGGUGGCGAGUGGCGAACGGGUGAGUAACACAUCGGAACGUGCCCAGUAGUGGGGGAUAGCUCGGCGAAAGCCGGAUUAAUACCGCAUACGACCUACGGGUGAAAGCGGGGGAUCGCAAGACCUCGCGCUAUCGGAGCGGCCGAUGUCAGAUUAGGUUGUUGGGGGGUAAAGGCCUACCAAGCCGACGAUCUGUAGCUGGUCUGAGAGGACGACCAGCCACACUGGGACUGAGACACGGCCCAGACUCCUACGGGAGGCAGCAGUGGGGAAUUUUGGACAAUGGGCGCAAGCCUGAUCCAGCCAUGCCGCGUGCGGGAAGAAGGCCUCGGUU